AGAGUAAAAUAUUAACCUCCUAGGGUCCAUCUUGCUUCCUGAAAACUGCUGGACAGGAUUUGUAGUGCAUCUAUGUGCCUGCAGGACUAAGCAAGCACAGACAGCUCUGAGCUGGCUUUGCACUAAACCAGGAUUUGCUUUCUCCGAAAC
rnacentral:lncRNA from 1 species